rnacentral:rRNA from 1 species
UACGUAGGGGGCAAGCGUUGUCCGGAAUCAUUGGGCGUAAAGAGCGCGCAGGCGGCCCUGUAAGUCCGCUGUGAAAGUCAAGGGCUCAACCCUUGGAUGCCGGUGGAUACUGCAGGGCUAGAGUCCGGAAGAGGCGAGUGGAAUUCCUGGUGUAGCGGUGAAAUGCGCAGAUAUCAGGAGGAACACCGAUGGCGAAGGCAGCUCGCUGGGACGGUACUGACGCUGAGGCGCGAAAGCGUGGGGAGCAAACAGG